CGCGCAAGCCUUGCGGGGCCGCACGCGCCCCAGGUUGGGAAUGAAGGGGGCCGGCCCGGGAAAGGAGAGGAUGGCGGCCAGACCCCGCCAAAGACGCAGAGGCGGCCCAAAGGCGGAGAGGGAGCUGCGCCUGCACCCGACAGGCUCCCCCCUCCCUGCCCCGGGCUCCCGACCCCCAGCCCGAAGAGCGGGUCGGUUCCUCACACUCUGCAGCAGACUCCUCCUCUGCGCCGCCAUCUUGGAGGGACCCCCGCGGGCGCGCCCGCCUCCCGCAGAGCAGGCGAGAAGGGCGGCUAGAGCGGCCCGGAGCCGGCCGGGAGGACCGCACUGCUGGAGCAUGCGCCCAGCGCCACCCCACGGCCGAAGCGGGAUGCGGCCGUCGCAAGGCGAGUGCGCAGGCGCGCUCUUCCAGCUUCUAUUUUGCAGUAGGGAGUAGGAAGACUCAGCGUGGCACUUGGGAGAAGAAUGAAGGCAAUGCCUGCCUGACACUGAGCUCCGAGGGGUGGGGAGGAUACAAGGACAUCUGCUGUGGACACACCCUCUUCUUUUCUGGGGACUCAGUGCCUGGGAACCAAGCUGUAAAGUGGAUCCUGUUUUCCUCGGGACAACCCUCUGGGUCAGGGUUUGCAAUCAAUCCAUGCCAUGCUUCUGCCAGUGGAACAAAGACACCACAACCACUGACCUUGAUGUCUGUUUAAACAGCCAGGCAUCAAGCUCCAGGCACCAAGGUGGGCAGGCCACCUGGCGGGGACAAGGGCCAGGCCAUCUGAUGCUCUAAGAAGCACACACAUGGCCUGGGAUGUCAGAUAACUCCAUGCCACCACACUGUGGCCUUUCCAAAGCCCCGACUGCAGAAGAACAGAUAGAGCCAGCCACCUUCUGGGAACUGAGACAGGCUGUGCCCGGAGUUUGGAUCCAUCCUUUGUCGUAAGGUCUGCAGCAAGUCUCUCUGUGCCUCCAGCCAGCUGCCCACGGAGCCCACAGAUGCCAUCAGUCCUUUGUUCAGCCUCACGCAGCCCCACAGUGUCUUGUUUGCAGAUAACAGCUUGGGAAGAUGACGGUUCACAGGUCCCUGUUGUGCAGUAACCUUUCUGGAUCUCAGGAUAACUCCAGGAAAUGGUUUUGUUGGGGCAGAGUGUGCACAUUUUUAACAUUUUUGCUGCAAUUGCAAAGUUGCCUUCCAGCUUUCUGUUGGAGUUUCCAUAUAAAGGGAAAUCUCUUAUAUACCCUUAUGAAAGGGUAUCUUCCCCUGCCUCCAACUUGCAGCCAGGGGUCCUGGCGUUCUGCAUCUUCUGGGCCACUCUGCUGUUUAAUACUGGAAUCAAAAUCACCUAAGUGUCAGCUCAUGUGACCAAGCCUUCCAAGGUCCGCUAUACGAGGUGACUUCCAAGAACUGCUUCCUGUUUCCUGCUCUGACCUGGCUGCCACUCGUCACCUCAGCUACCUCCUCCUUCUGGACAACUGCCCUUUUUUCCAAGAAAUGAGUUACCUCCUGCCAUCUGGUAACAUCUCCAGGCUUCAGCUCCCAGGAUGGCUUCUCUGGGUUCACCACCCUCCCUGAAUUCCUUAAAACACAGCUACCACCAACCUGACAAAAGCCGACUGCAGGUUUGGGAAGAACAAAAGGCAGAUUUAAACUGGAGGUCGCAGAAUUCCCAUUGUGGCUCAAUGGUGUAAGAAUCCGACCCUGUCUCUCCAAGGACACAGGUUCGAUCCCUGGCCUUGCUCAGUGGGUUAAGGUGUU